AACGAACGCUGGCGGCGUGCCUAACACAUGCAAGUCGAACGGGAAAACCCGCAAGGGUGAGUACAGUGGCGCACGGGUGCGUAACACGUGGGUAAUCUGCCCAGAAGCCCGGAAUAACUCCCCGAAAGGGGUGCUAAUGCCGGAUGAGACCACGGGGACUUCGGUUCCUGGGGGAAAAGGUGGCCUCUGUAUACAAGCUAUCACUUCUGGAUGAGCCCGCGGCCCAUCAGCUAGUUGGCGGGGUAAUGGCCCACCAAGGCUACGACGAGUAGCUGGGCUGAGAGGACGAUCAGCCACACUGGAACUGAGACACGGUCCAGACUCCUACGGGAGGCAGCAGUGGGGAAUCUUGCGCAAUGGGCGAAAGCCUGACGCAGCAACGCCGCGUGUGUGAUGAAGGUCUUCGGAUCGUAAAGCACUGUCGGGAGGGACGAAUAAGGGCCGGGUGAACAAUCCGGUUCGACGACGGUACCUCCAGAGGAAGCACCGGCUAACUCUGUGCCAGCCGCCGCCGUAAAAC
rnacentral:rRNA from 1 species